rnacentral:rRNA from 1 species
GUGGGGAAUAUUGGACAAUGGGCGCAAGCCUGAUCCAGCCAUGCCGCGUGUGUGAAGAAGGCCUUUUGGUUGUAAAGCACUUUAAGCGAGGAGGAGGCUCCUUUAGUUAAUACCUAAAGAGAGUGGACGUUACUCGCAGAAUAAGCACCGGCUAACUCUGUGCCAGCAGCCGCGGUAAUACAGAGGGUGCGAGCGUUAAUCGAAUUUACUGGGCGUAAAGCGUGCGUAGGCGGCUUUUUAAGUCGGAUGUGAAAUCCCUGAGCUUAACUUAGGAAUUGCAUUCGAUACUGGAAAGCUAGAGUAUGGGAGAGGAUGGUAGAAUUCCAGGUGUAGCGGUGAAAUGCGUAGAGAUCUGGAGGAAUACCGAUGGCGAAGGCAGCCAUCUGGCCUAAUACUGACGCUGAGGUACGAAAGCAUGGGGAGCAAACAGGAUUAGAUACCCUUGUAGUCC